AUCGCUUCUCGGCCUUUUAGCUAAGAUCGAAGUUUAGUUUCUGUUCUUAUCGAAUUAACCUCGUCGAAGUUUUUUAAAAAAUUGUAAAUAAUGUGUUUACUUAAGGGGCAGAUGAAAUAAAACUUUA
rnacentral:snRNA from 1 species